ACGAAGGGGGCUAGCGCUGCUCGGAAUCACUGGGCUUAAAGGGCGCGUAGGCGGGCUAUCAAGUCCGGGGUGAAAUCCUCCCGCUCAACGGGAGAACGGCCUCGGAUACUGAUGGUCUCGAGGGGGGUAGGGGCACGCGGAACUGUGGGUGGAGCGGUGAAAUGCGUUGAUAUCCAUAGGAACUCCGGUGGCGAAGGCGGCGUGCUGGACCCCUUCUGACGCUGAGGCGCGAAAGCCAGGGGAGCAAACGGGA
rnacentral:rRNA from 1 species